GUUGACCUCGGAUCAGGUAGGGAUACCCGCUGAACUUAAGCAUAUCAAUAAGCGGAGGAAAAGAAACCAACAGGGAUUGCCUCAGUAACGGCGAGUGAAGCGGCAAUAGCUCAAAUUUGAAAGCUGGCGUCUUCGACGUCCGCGUUGUAAUUUGUAGAGGAUGCUUCGGCAAGGACUCCUGCCUAAGUCCCCUGGAACGGGGCGUCACAGAGGGUGAGAAUCCCGUAUGUGGCGGGCGGUCCGAGCCAUGUGAAGCUCCUUCGACGAGUCGAGUUGUUUGGGAAUGCAGCUCUAAAUGGGAGGUAAAUUUCUUCUAAAGCUAAAUAUUGGCCAGAGACCGAUAGCGCACAAGUAGAGUGAUCGAAAGAUGAAAAGCACUUUGGAAAGAGAGUUAAAAAGUACGUGAAAUUGUUGAAAGGGAAGCGCUUGCAACCAGACUCGCUCGCAGUUGCUCAGCCGGCCUCUUGGCCGGUGUACUCUUCUGCGAUCGGGCCAGCAUCGGUUCGGGCGGCCGGAUAAAGGUGUCGGGAAUGUAGCACCCUUCGGGGUGUGUUAUAGCCCGGCGCGGAAUGCGGCCAGCCUGGACCGAGGAUCUCGCUUCGGCAAGGAUGCUGGCGUAAUGGUUGUAAGCGGCCCGUCU
rnacentral:rRNA from 1 species